rnacentral:lncRNA from 1 species
AUGCCAGAGCGUCCAGGGCCCCGGCUCCCUCCCCGCGCGGGGACGCUCUGCUGGGGCAGCGGGGUGGUCCCUUCUUUAGGAAAGGUUCCAAAAUGUAGCCCUCUAGCCUGUCUUUUCUUGAUGAGUAUUAGAAGACCUACUUGCUCUGAGGUCACUCCCCUCCAGUUUUCACCUGCGUUCUUCUGGGCAGGCCAGUUGCUAGGAGCGCCUACAGGAAGAUUAGGAAGAGGUGAAAAGGUAAGGCUGAGGUAGUGUUUACUCUCCCACGGCAGCCUGUGUGACUGAGAGAGGGAAUGGGAGGCGGCAGAUAAGGUUAAUCAGCAGGACACAUGCUCAUUGCUUCCCAGGACACUGCUUACAAUCUCAUUCAACCCUAAGAAUGCUUUUUGAUAAAGGGAAAAAUCAGGUGGUGGUUUUCGCUGUUGAAUUCCGGCAGAAAAUCAGCCCUUUCCAGAAGAUGGCUUGAUGCUAUCUGCAAACACAAUUAGUCUAGGGUCCCUGCCACACGGUAGUAAAGAUGCAUUCAGAAACAGCAGGAGAGAGAUUAAAUGAUUACAUUAGUAGAGCAAAUAUAUGUAUGAUAAAGUUUUAUGAGCUCUUCUUCCAAGAAGGGCCUCCACCAAAGCAAGAUUUUUUUAUGAUCUUUGUUCCAAGGCUCAGGAAAUGUAGCUCCCUUGUUCAACUUGGCAGUUUGUGACCAGAUUUAUCUAAUAUGACUCAUUUCUUUUUUAAUUCUUAUUUUCAUGAAAAUUCAGACCAUGUAUCUUAUUAGUAUUCCUAACAAUAUUUAGUGCUGAAACUUUUACUAUCUCACUUAAUACCAUAUAUUCGUCUCUUCCAAGCAAUAGCUCAAAAUUUCUCUCAACUUUAUUGUACCAAAGGAAAUGUUAAAAUAUUAGUAGUGUAUGAUCUCUUUCUAAGAUUACGAGGUUUCCUGUUUUGUGGGAUUUUAAGUUGCUAACUGGCAAAAGCUGAUGGGUGGGCUCAGUGAUGUGCCGGCAUUACUCUUACCUUUCUCCCAGCAUGAACCCUGAGUACAAUGAAAACUCCUGCUCAUGCGUCCUACCCAUCCUUGUAGCUAGGGCUUUACCAUUCCAAACAGUGAAUGGUUGUUGCAAAUGACUUCAGGCUGUUCUUAUUAUGUAGCUAAAGUAAUGUAAUACAAGGUAGCCUUUUACAUUUUGGUAAAAGAAAUCAUGUACCCACAUCCAGAAGGAAAUUAGGGGAGUCACCUGUCAUUACUAAUCGCUAC